rnacentral:rRNA from 1 species
UACAUGUGGUGCAAGCGUUGUUCGGAAUUACUGGGCAUAAAGGGUGCGUAGGCGGUGUCGUCAGUCUGGGGUGAAAUCCUGCGGCCCAACCGUGGGACUGCCUCGGAUACUGCGAUGCUUGAGUGCGUGAGGGGUGAUCGGAACGCGUGGUGUAGAGGUGAAAUUCGUAGAUAUUCGGAAGAACACCAGUGGCGAAGGCGGCUCACUGGCCCGUUACCGACGCUCAGGCGCGAAAGCGUGGGGAGCAAACAGG